rnacentral:rRNA from 1 species
GACGGAGGAUGCAAGCGUUAUCCGGAAUUAUUGGGUGUAAAGCGUCCGCAGGUGGACAUACAAGUCUGCUGUCAAAGUGCAGAGCUUAACUCUGUAAAGGCGGUGGAAACUGUAGGUCUUGAGUAUGGUAGGGGUAGAGGGAAUUCCCGGUGUAGCGGUGAAAUGCGUAGAUAUCGGGAAGAACACCAGUGGCGAAAGCGCUCUACUGGGCCAUAACUGACACUGAGGGACGAAAGCUAGGGGAGCGAACAGG